CAGUGUGUGUUCGUAGGUUAGAUCUGUAUUGUGACUUUUCUAUGUUUGUGUGUGUGUAUUGCGGUGAAAAAUAAUUAAAAUAAAUUUAAAUUUUAAAUUAUUCUGUAGAAACAUCAAUAUUACGACUUUUUUUAUUUAUUUCUUGUGAAAAAUGUCAGUCUCAUAAGUGGAAGUUUACGUUUAAUUAGAAUUUUAGGUUGAUGUUCGUUUGAGUAAAAAAUCUGUCAUUACUUGUUUACUAAUAGUAUUAAAAUUAAUUCAUUUGUUUUUCAAAGAUAAAUAAUUGUAAAUGAUCUUGUGAACAUAUCAAUCUAUUUUGUUAUUCUCUUAAAAUCCUACGAGUGUCAGUUUCAAGUCUUCGUCACUUCCUCACGUAACCUAUAUUUUUACUUCCUGAAGCAUUUUACUAAUAUUUAUGACAUUAAUUCUUCAAAUUCGAGUUUACUAUUGCAUAAAAAUUAAUAAAAUGUUGUUGUCGGACUCAUAUUCAUUGCUCGUUAAAAUUAAAAGUUGAAAGUUAGCUUUCAAUUCUGGAAGGUUAGAAUUUGAGUUGUAGGUUAGGAUUUCGUAUUCAAUAGUUUAUUCCAGAAAUGUGCUACUAGUUGAUUACUAUAACUGUAAAUAUUACUUUCCCGCAAAUUUAAUAUUUCUUUUUCAUCCAUCCCUAUAGAAUAUAGACUCCAUUUAUGUAAAUAAUCUGUUCGCUAUACUGAUUUGUAGUCCUAACCUGUUUGUUUAUCCUUGGAAUAUUAUACUCAGUUGCUUAUUCCCUACAACUUUGGCUUAAUUUAUAUGGGAUGCAAUUAAAUUGAUUUGGAAUUUCUGCAUCUGAAGUAAUUUCAACAAUCUGGUCAAUCCCAUUGUUUUAUUUAUGAGGUUAUGAAUUCCUACACCAAACAAAUUUAUGUUUUGAGACUUGAAAUACAUUAUCAUCCCACUACAGAAUAGAAUUCUGAGAGAUAACCCUUUAUCUCUUCAUUCCUUGCCAACUUUUUAAUCUUUUUUUCAAUGAUUAAUGCAUUUUACACUAGGCCUACAAAGUGUAGUCAUAAGCAAUAUGUAUUGUAUGUUGACUGAGGAGUGAGGACUGAUAUUCACUUUCAAUAAUUAAUUCUUCUUUAAUAUCAAUUUAAAAUACAUAAUCUUUUACCACCUUACUUAUAUAUAUUUUAUUUUGAACAUAAGAGAAAUAUUCCAACUAAUUUAUCAGGCAAAAUCCUUAAAAAACCUAUAAGCUACUGCCAUUUUCAACUUUUGUUUGCAGUUUAUUAUUAGAGAAACUAAAAUAUACUUCUUUAAACUGGCAUACGCAUUCAGCAAUCAGUGUAAAUUUAAGGCCUUCAAAUUUCCACUGACUAGCUGAAACGUUUUGUCAAUUGUUAUGAUAGAAUCACAUCUAUCCAUUUCUUUGUAACUUAUGGUUUUUGAGGAUAGCUUUAGACACUUUUUAGUAAGAACACUGAUAAUUUUGUUGAUGAAUUGUUUUAAUAAAAAAAAACUUCUGAUUAUUUGAAUAAAUAAACAGUGGUUUGUAUAACUUUUUCAUGAAUUUUACUUUUCAUUAUAAAUAAAUUUACAAAUCAUGUUCAUAAAAUUAGAAAAUACUCCAAAAAUCAGGAUCUCAGAGGCAGGUUAUCUCAUUGGAAAAAAACACAAGAUAUAAAAAUGUUCCUAUAACUUCUAUUUUGUGUCUAAUUCGUUUCUAUUCCCCCUCAUACUUCAUCCAGGUACAUAAAAUCUCUAAAAGUGAGAUUCUUUGUGAUAAAUCCAGUGUAAAUAGUGUUUGCGCAGUGUUUUACUAGUAAAACUUGUGGAUUUAAAGUGAAGUGUUUUAUGAAAUGUACCGGUACCGAACAUCAUCUCUUCAUGUGACAUCGAUUAGCAUGCUUUGGUAUUUGCGGCUUACCAUUGAAGAGCAGUAUGCUGAAGGUUAGUGACAUCUAUUUUAGAUCCAUCAAAACAAGAACAUCAACACACAGUUUCAUUUAUUUAUUACAUCUAGUGCUUUGUGCAUUGCUUAAUCUUUAUUGAGUUCAUAUAUUUUGUACUGUAAGCAUUUUUUUACUGUCGAAAUUAUAGAGUUUUUUCUUCUAAAAAUUUAUAGAAUCUUGGAAGGUUCAUGACAGACAACAUCUCAAAAUGAGUUGAGAAUGAAAAUGAAGUGUCAAGUCUCUGAUUAGAACUUUUCUCAUGAAUUCUUAAUAUCUGAUCUCUUCCU